rnacentral:rRNA from 1 species
UACGUAGGGGGCAAGCGUUGUCCGGAUUUAUUGGGCGUAAAGAGCGUGUAGGCGCCAGACAGGUCCGUUGUGAAAACUCGAGGCUCAACCUCGAGAUGUCGAUGGAAACCGUCUGGCUAGAGUCCGGAAGAGGAGUGUGGAAUUCCUGGUGUAGCGGUGAAAUGCGCAGAUAUCAGGAAGAACACCUAUGGCGAAGGCAGCACUCUGGGACGGUACUGACGCUGAGACGCGAAAAGCGUGGGGAGCGAACAGG